CCUACGGGAGGCAGCAGUGAGGAAUAUUGGUCAAUGGACGAAAGUCUGAACCAGCCAAGCCGCGUGAAGGAUGACUGCUCUAUGGGUUGUAAACUGCUUUUAUAUGGGGAUAAAACGAUCUACGUGUAUGUUUUUGUAUGUAUCGUAUGAAUAAGGAUCGGCUAACUCCGUGCCAGCAGCCGCGGUAAUACGGAGGAUUCAAGCGUUAUCCGGAUUUAUUGGGUUUAAAGGGUGCGUAGGCGGUCGGUUAAGUUAGUUGUGAAAUCCCGAGGCUCAACCUUGGAAUUGCAGCUGAUACUGGUCGGCUAGAGAGUAGUAGCGGUGGGCGGAAUGUGUGGUGUAGCGGUGAAAUGCUUAGAGAUCAUGAAGAACACCGAUUGCGAAGGCAGCUUACUAAACUGCAACUGACGUUGAGGCACGAAAGUGUGGGGAGCAAACAGGAUUAGAUACCCGAGUAGUC
rnacentral:rRNA from 1 species